rfam:Streptomyces avermitilis MA-4680 = NBRC 14893 DNA, complete genome.
CUUCACCGAUCCCAGCCACAGCGGCCUGUUACCGGCCCGCUGCCCGUACGUGGCGAGCAACGCCUGCGCCUC